UAAAGCGUGCGCAGGCGGUUUGUAAGACUGUCGUGAAAUCCCCGGGCUCAACCUGGGAAUGGCGAUGGUGACUGCAAGGCUAGAGUUUGGCAGAGGGGGGUAGAAUUCCACGUGUAGCAGUGAAAUGCGUAGAUAUGUGGAGGAACACCGAUGGCGAAGGCAGCCCCCUGGGUCAAAACUGACGCUCAUGCACGAAAGCGUGGGGAGCAAACAGGAUUAGAUACCCGUGU
rnacentral:rRNA from 1 species